rnacentral:rRNA from 1 species
GUCUACGGCCAUACCACCCUGAACGCGCCCGAUCUCGUCUGAUCUCGGAAGCUAAGCAGGGUCGGGCCUGGUUAGUACUUGGAUGGGAAGGAAACCAAAAUGUGAACG